rnacentral:lncRNA from 1 species
GGGGACACUGUGACAUGGGGACACCAGGGGAUGGGGACGCUGUGACAUGGGGACACUGUGACAUGGGGACACCACGGGAUGGGGACACUGUGACACAGGGACACCGCAGGAUGGGGACACUGACAUGGGGACGCUGUGACAUGGGGACACUGGGGGAUGGGGACACUAUGACAUGGGGACACUGUGACAUGGGGACACCGCGGGAUGGGGACGCUGUGACAUGGGGACACCAGGGGAUGGGGACGCUGUGACAUGGGGACACUGUGACAUGGGGACACCAGGGGAUGGGGACAGUGUGACAUGGGGACAGUGUGACAUGGGGACAUGGGGACACUAUGACAUGGGGACACCAGGGGUUGGGGACACUAUGACAUGGGGACACUGUGACAUGGGGACACUGCAGCCACUGUCACCGUCACAGCACGGGGCGCCCUGUCCCCAAUGUGUCCCCAAGGCUCCCUGUCACCUGGGGGUCCUUCGUCACCCAGGUGUCCCCUGUCACCCAGGUGUCCCCUGUCACCCAAGUCUCCUUUGUCACCUGGAUGUCCUUUGUCACCCAGAUGUCCUUUGUCACCCAGGUGUCCCCAUCACUCAGGUGUCCUUUGUCACCCAAGUGUCCUUUGUCACCAGGAUCUCCACGUCACCCAAGUGUCCUUUGUCACCCAGGUGUCCCCUGUCACCCAGGUGACGUCCUCGGUCACCCAGAUGCCCUUUGCCACUUGGGUGUCCUU